rnacentral:rRNA from 1 species
CCAAUAGCGUAUAUUAAAGUUGUUGCAGUUAAAAAGCUCGUAGUUGAAUUUCGGGAUCAGUGGGUCGGUCGUGCCACUGGUAUGCACUGGCCCUACUGGUUCCUCCUUCUUGAAGAACUGUAAUGCCAUUAAUUUGGUGUUGCAGGGAAACAGGACUGUUACUUUGAAAAAAUUAGAGUGUUUAAAGCAGGCAAUCGCUUGAAUACAUUAGCAUGGAAUAAUGAAAUAGGACGUUCGAUCCUAUUUUGUUGGUUUCUAGGAUUGACGUAAUGAUUAAUAGGGAUAGUUGGGGGCAUUAGUAUUCAAUUGUCAGAGGUGAAAUUCUUGGAUUUAUUGAAGACUAACUACUGCGAAAGCAUUUGCCAAGGAUGUUUUCAUUAAUCAAGAACGAAAGUUAGGGGAUCGAAGACGAUCAGAUACCGUCGUAGUCUUAACCAUAAACUAUGCCGACUAGGGAUCGGAUGAUGUUAAUUUUUUAAUGACUCAUUCGGCGCCUUACG